CCUUCGAUAGCUCAGUUGGUAGAGCGGAGGACUGUAGCGGCUUUAUCCAGCCAUCCUUAGGUCGCUGGUUCAAAUCCGGCUCGAAGGA
rnacentral:tRNA from 1 species